UCUGGAGACAGGUGCUGCAUGGCUGUCGUCAGCUCGUGUCGUGAGAUGUUGGGUUAAGUCCCGCAACGAGCGCAACCCUUGCCUUUAGUUGCCAGCAGUUCGGCGUGGGCACUCUAAAGGGACUGCCGGUGUUAAACCGGAGGAAGGUGGGGAUGACGUCAAGUCCUCAUGGCCUUUAUGACCAGGGCUACACACGUACUACAAUGGCCGAUACAAAGGGCAGCGACACUGCGAGGUGAAGCCAAUCCCGUAAAAUCGGUCUCAGUCCGGAUUGGAGUCUGCAACUCGACUCCAUGAAGUUGGAAUCGCUAGUAAUCGUGGAUCAGCAUGCCACGGUGAAUACGUUCCCGGGCCUU
rnacentral:rRNA from 1 species